UCUCUUUGUCUAACGCGUCAACGGUCAACCGCCGUUCAAAUCGAAUUAAUCGAAGUUAUUAACGGACGCAGGACGCCGGACGCCGCCAAUAAGGGACAUCACGGACGUCCCGCGGACUCGGAUGGAUGGCCUGGGAUCUUACGGUUAACAGGCUUCAAGCCGUCCGCAGAUGUUUUGCACGACGGGAAAAGAUACAAUCGUUUAAGUUCUGCAGUUUGGGCUUCAAGAUUGGCGGUGCUGGCAUCGAAUGAGAGAAAAUUUUGUACCUGAUAUGAUGAAAAACCAAUAAAUUUUAAAAAUUUAACUAAAUAA